GUCCUUUUGAAUUUAAUUUAAGGUCUGACCUGCCCAGUGAUAUAUUUAACGGCCGCGGUAUACUGACCGUGCAAAGGUAGCAUAAUCAUUAGUCUUUUAAUAGAGGGCUGGAAUGAAAGGUUCAACGAGGAAUUGACUGUCUCAUUUUAUUUGUUUUAAAAUUUAAUUUUUUAGUUAAAAAGCUAAAAUGUUAUUGGAAGACGAGAAGACCCUAUAGAGCUUUACAUAAUUUUAAUUGGAUUUCAUAUAAAUAUAAAUAUCUCUAGUUAUUGUUAUGUUUUGUUGGGGUGACAAAAAUAUAUAAUUAACUUUUUUAUUUAUUUAACAUUAAUUUAUGAAUAUUAGAUCCAUUAUUAUUGAUUACUAGAUUAAGUUACCUUAGGGAUAACAGCGUAAUCCUCCUCCAGAGUUCAUAUUUACAGGAUGGGCUUGCGACCUCGAUGUUGGAUUAAGAUAAUAAUUAGGUGUAGCCGCUUAAUUUAUAGGUCUGUUCGACCUUUAAAUUCUU
rnacentral:rRNA from 1 species